CAAACAGCCUCUUGUCAGAUGGUCCGGAGGCAGCUCCUGCUCAUCCCUGAGCUGCGGGUUUAGUUUCCUGCCCACCCGCAGAACCGUUCACACGGCCAGUCACACUCUCCCACUGGAACCAGGGCACCCCACCCUCCUUACCGCAACGGCCACUGCCCACAGCCCUGCUGGCUCACGCUGUUCCCGAGGGCACCCCCGUGUGGUCCUGUGCCGUGUGCCGUGUCCUCCUCCCCCAGGCCGAGAGCACACAAAUCUCAAGCACAUCCAACCUCCUGUUGGGAGAGAAAAAAAGAAUGAGGGAAAGUAAGGAGGGGAGAAGUCUGUCGAAGUUUGCCCUCCGCCUCCCAUCCAUCGGCCGCGUCAGACAGCUGACAACCUGGCUGCUCCCAAGCUUCAGAGCCAUCUCUCUGCUGUGAAAGGCUGGUCGCAGACCUGGUCUGGAGUUUUCACCCUUCAAGCCAUUAUCUGCUGUGUCAGCAGAGCCGUCGGUUGCAUUCAUAUUCACCACUUUGUUCCCAAGUCUAAUCUGGAAGAUACAAAACACAGAAGUGCCAGGAAUCCGCAAUUAGGCUCGCUGUGCAGCCAUCCUCCCGUGACACAGCUGUUGAUGGAAGCGAAGACCAUCCACGCGGAAACACCAUUGUCCAUUGUCAGUGCCCGUCAGUGCCUCUUUGCGUACUUGUCCCUCUGUGACCACACAGCUGGCCUCUUCCCACCCCUCUAAUGCCCACAGUGAAUCCAGAUCCAAACAAGCAACUUCCUCAGAACAACAGUGAGCCAACCCAACAUGAUGAGCAGGUAACCGGUACCCACGGAGCAUCUCGUCAGGAGGAGGAAAGAGGGCUCGUCUUGUGCACCACACAGCAAAGGCCGUGCUCUCCCCCACCCUCCCUGCCCUCUCUCGGCUCCUCACCGCACUCCUCUUCACCCUCGCAGAUUCUAGGAUCGCCUCUACCGUCCAGAGCUGUUUAGUCCCACGAUGACACAGGCAUGUGCUUAACUUGCCGUCUAAGAUCACGGGCAGCCCGGCCAUCUACCUGGUCCCUGGAGAUGCUCCUGUCUCCCAGGCAGCUCUCUGAUGUAUCCACAUGACGAUAGGAAGAGGGACAGGAAGGUGGGGGGGUGUACCGUGAGCAGCCGUCAGACCUGAUCUGCUCCACGACACAUGCAUGGGCACUGCCCCCCGCCUUCAGUCCCCGUAUUGUCCUGCAGGCCCCACUUGCUGCAUCUUUCCCACACACAAGAAAAUAGGCCAAAAAGGGUUUUGGAUAGUUAUCUUAUUUUAUUCCCUUUUUGUUUGUGUCUCUCUGCUGCCCUUGCCCCUCAGCUGUCCCCUAUCUCAAUCUGACGCACACAGUUUCCGUCUGUCCUCAUUUCUUCUCUUCCUUCGGAAAACAUCCAAGAUAAGGUCCCCUGUGACUUGUCUGGCAAUUUUGUCCUCGGCCAACCCAGCUUCAGCCCACGGGCUGCAGAGUCUUUUCUCCCCGGCAAACGAGAGCUCCUAAGAUCUCACCGCAGCACCUGGGAGGUGCUGCGUCACUACACGUUGGGACAAAGCAGAUGCCGAAAUAAAGGGAGUCCCGGGCUCCGUGCAGCAGGGUCAUCCACAGACCUGCCGCCUCCAGCUGCUAGCCCACAGGACAGGUCACAAGGAGGACGGGCCGCGCCGUCAUCGCCGGUCCCGAGCCACGAGAGGGGAGACGGGCAGGAGACGCUUCAUCGCCCCCGAGCCCUGCCCAGGGUGGGCCACGGAUGGAGGCCUCCCUCCAGGAGCUGAAGUUCCUUUAAAAACGACAAGCAUUGCUGCCCC
ensembl:lncRNA